rnacentral:tRNA from 2 species
GCGGGUGUGGCGGAAUUGGCAGACGCACUAGAAUCAGGAUCUAGCGCCUUUAUGGCGUGGGGGUUCAAGUCCCUCCACCCGCAUCA